AGACCCGAAACCCGGUGAUCUAGCCAUGGGCAGGUUGAAGGUUGGGUAACACUAACUGGAGGACCGAACCGACUAAUGUUGAAAAAUUAGCGGAUGACCUGUGGCUGGGGGUGAAAGGCCAAUCAAACCGGGAGAUAGCUGGUUCUCCCCGAAAGCUAUUUAGGUAGCGCCUCGUGAAUUCAUCUCCGGGGGUAGAGCACUGUUUCGGCUAGGGGGCCAUCCCGGCUUACCAACCCGAUGCAAACUGCGAAUACCGGAGAAUGUUAUCACGGGAGACACACGGCGGGUGCUAACGUCCGUCGUGAAGAGGGAAACAACCCAGACCGCCAGCUAAGGUCCCAAAGUCAUGGUUAAGUGGGAAACGAUGUGGGAAGGCCCAGACAGCCAGGAUGUUGGCUUAGAAGCAGCCAUCAUUUAAAGAAAGCGUAAUAGCUCACUGGUCGAGUCGGCCUGCGCGGAAGAUGUAACGGGGCUAAACCAUGCACCGAAGCUGCGGCAGCGAACGUAUCACCCAAGACAACUUUACGGAGUUGACGAUUGACGGAGCGAAGCGACGUCAAAGCGUUCAUUAAAGUCG
rnacentral:rRNA from 3 species